rnacentral:rRNA from 1 species
UCAAGCUACGAAGGGCAUAUGGUGGAUGCCUUGGCGCCAUGAGCCGAUGAAGGACGCGAUAAGCUGCGAUAAGCCGCGGGGAACUGCACAUAAGUAUCGAUCCGCGGAUUUCCGAAUGGGGAAACCCGGCAGCCGUAAUGGGCUGUCACCCGAAAGGGAGGGAACCCGGUGAACUGAAACAUCUAAGUAGCCGGAGGAAGAGAAAUCAAACGAGAUGCCCACAGUAGCGGCGAGCGAAGAGGGCAUAGCCCAAACCGGAGGCCUUCGGGCCUGCGGGGUUGCGGACCGGCGUAAACCGACGAGUUGCUAGUAGAAUUACCUGGAAAGGUAAGCGAGAGAGGGUAAAAGCCCCGUAUACGAAAGCGACGAGGAGGCGGCCGGAAUCCAGAGUACCACGGAGCACGAGGAAUUCUGUGGGAAACCGGGGGGACCACCCUCCAAGGCUAAACACUCCAUGGCGACCGAUAGCGCAUAGUACCAUGAGGGAAAGGUGAAAAGAACCCCGGGAGGGGAGUGAAAGAGAACCUGAAACCGUAUGUCUACAAGCAGUCGGAGCGAAAGCGACGGCGUGCCUAUUGAAGAAUGAGCCAACGAGUUGCGUGUGCUGGCGAGGUUAAGCAGAAGAUGCGGAGCCGUAGGGAAACCGAGUCUGAACAGGGCGUCAAGUCAGUAUACGCAGACCCGAAACUGCAGUGAUCUACGCAGGGCCAGGUUGAAACGCAGGUAAAAUUGCGCGGAGGACCGAACCGGGACAUGUUGAAAAAUGUUCGGAUGAGCUGUGCGUAGGGGUGAAAUUCCAAUCGAACGCAGAGAUAGCUGGUUCUCCUCGAAAUAGCUUUAGGGCUAGCCUCAGGCAGUAAGCGCAGGCGGUAGAGCACUGAUCGGGAUAGGGACUGUAAUGGUUACCGAACCCUGUCAAACUCCGAAUGGCAGCGCUGCAGAGCCUGGGAGUCAGACUACGAGUGAUAAGAUCCGUGGUCAAAAGGGAAACAGCCCAGACCAUCAGCUAAGGUCCCCAAUGCCGUACUAAGUGGAAAAGGAUGUGGGGUUUCAUAAACAACCAGGAUGUUGGCUCAGAAGCAGCCACCAUUUAAAGAGUGCGUAAUAGCUCACUGGUCGAGAGACCCUGCGCCGAAGAUUCCCGGGGCUAAAGUACGGAACCGAAGCUAUGGAUGCAUGCUUAGGCAUGCGUGGUAGAGGAGCGUUCCCGUCGGGUUGAAGUCGUCCUGUAAGGGACGGUGGACGGACGGGAAGUGAGAAUGUUGGCAUGAGUAGCGAAAAGAACGGUGAGAAUCCGUUCCACCGAAAACACAAGGAUUCCUGAGCAACGAUCGUCGUCUCAGGGUAAGUCGGGACCUAAUCCGAGGCAUGGAGCGUAGGAGAUGGACAUCCGGUUGAAAUUCCGGAACCGGCAGGAAUCGUCAAGAGCAACGGAGUGACACAGGAAGGCAGGCGCGCAUGAGAUUGGAAGUUCAUGUGCAAGCGUGCGACGCGCGGGACAGGCAAACCCGUCCCGCACAAGCGCCAGGCGUGACGCGGAGGGAACCGCAAGGGACCCGAAGGCGCCGGACCUACACUGUCGAGAAAAGCUUCUAGCAAGAGACCUGCCGCCCGUACCGUAAACCGACACAGGUGUGUGGGGAGAGAAUCCUAAGGUGCGCGGGAGAACCCUCGUUAAGGAACUCGGCAAAAUGUACCCGUAACUUCGGGAUAAGGGUAGCCAUCUGGUGUGAAGGGACUAGCUCCCGGAGCGCCGGAAGGCCGCAGAGAAGAGGCCCAAGCGACUGUUUACCAAAAACUUAGGUGCCUGCCAAAGCGAAAGCUGACGUAUAGGUGCUGACACCUGCCCAGUGCCGGAAGGUUAAGGAAGGAGGUCCGGGUUCGACCCAAAGCCUUCGACCGAAGCCCCGGUGAACGGCGGCCGUAACUAUAACGGUCCUAAGGUAGCGAAAUUCCUUGUCGGGUAAG